AACGAACGCUGGCGGCAUGCCCAACACAUGCAAGUCGAACGAGAUCUUCGGGUCUAGUGGCGCACGGGUGCGUAACGCGUGGGAAUCUGCCCUUUGGUUCGGAAUAACAGUUGGAAACGACUGCUAAUACCGGAUGAUGACGAAAGUCCAAAGAUUUAUCGCCAGAGGAUGAGCCCGCGUAGGAUUAGCUAGUUGGUGUGGUAAAGGCGCACCAAGGCGACGAUCCUUAGCUGGUCUGAGAGGAUGGUCAGCCACACUGGGACUGAGACACGGCCCAGACUCCUACGGGAGGCAGCAGUGGGGAAUAUUGGACAAUGGGCGAAAGCCUGAUCCAGCAAUGCCGCGUGAGUGAUGAAGGCCUUAGGGUUGUAAAGCUCCUUUACCCGGGAUGAUAAUGACAGUACCGGGAGAAUAAGCUCCGGCUAACUCCGUGCCAGCCGCCGCAGUAA
rnacentral:rRNA from 1 species